rnacentral:rRNA from 1 species
GAGAUGACUCCCGGCAACGGAUAUCUCGGCUCUCGCAUCGAUGAAGAACGUAGCGAAAUGCGAUACGUGGUGUGAAUUGCAGAAUCCCGUGAACCAUCGAGUCUUUGAACGCAAGUUGCGCCCGAGGGAUCAUCUCGAGGGCACGCCUGCCUCUUGGGCGUAAGAA